AAAGAAAAAAAGAAAUUAUAAUAUCACAACGUAGCAAGUCCAAGAAGAAACGGAACACAAAGACCUUGGCGGGUCGACAUACCCGCGUCAAGAACGUGCGACGACCCCGACCCCGUGCAGGAGAGAGCAACCCCUCUCUCUCUCUUUCUCUCUCUCUUUCUCUCUCUCUCUCUCUCUUACUUAUUCUUCUUACGCUUCUUAGUAUAACAAACGCAUGACCGACGACAGAAGAAGACAAACACACACGUUACACACCACCACCACAACACUCGACUUAACUCUCACCGUAUGUAUCGUCUAAAUUCUUUUUAUUCAGGUUUAUAUUGAACCCCAGUGGAUAUAUUAUAUCCACCCUCUAACCUAUUCACUUAGGAACAUUCAAAAUAAUCCCUGAUAAAAAUUAUUUUUAAUGAUUUUUUUUUUCUCUCUCUCUCUCUCUCUAUCUAUUUAUCUAUCUACCUAUCUAUCUCUCUAUUUCUCUCUUAUUACUUCUUAUAUCCUCCCCUUGUCUAUAUCACCAUCCACACCACCAAUGGGCUACUACUGUACUACACUACCAAUCUUACUGCUGCAUUUAUCUCUCACUAGUCUACUACUGUUGCUACUAUUUUACCAGUGCAACUGCUACUACUAUUACCACUACUCUACUAAUAUACUACUACACUACUCUUACCUACUACACUACUACGCGAUUACUACCUACUACCACCACCACUACUACUACAGCCUAGCUGCAACAGGAGCAGCAACAGCAGCAGCAGCAGCAGCAGCAGCAGAUAGCAGCGGUAGUAAAAGUGUGGUGUUCACCUUCACCAAUUUCUCCACCUUCACCACCAUUUAACAUUUGGUAUAGCUAUGUUUGCCCUUUUUUUUCUCUUUUUCUAUUUCUUUUUUUUUUUUUCUUUUUUUUUUUCGUAAUAAGAUCGUCACUUAACACAAAUAUUAACAAUAAUAACAAUAACAAAAAGCACUGGCAAUUGCAGCUCCAAUGUCAAAUAAUGAAGAAGAGCGGCACGAAUUUCAGGUACACGGUAUCAUGCAUACACAUGCAUAAAUACGUACGUAAGUACGUAUGUACACACACACACACACACACACACAUAUAUAUAUACAUACAUACAUACAUAAACAGAAUAAACGCGCACUCGACACUACUGAACAAGACAGCUGAGCCUCCGUGGCCCUAGCAGUUUUAUAUAAGAGACCGCUUCUCUCACACCGUGAAUACAGGAUAAUUUGUUCACUAGUUAGCUCAACGGCCGAAUAUCUUAGCCCGCUAGAAGCCUUUCUAAUCUUACGAAUAUCCAAACAUUACGCACCGCACACCUCACCACUCCGAUACUCCGCCAGCUAGCCUACCCCAUCGACGAUAAUAACAAAUAUGGCGAGCAGGACUACCUUCUGCAUAUCGCUCUGUUCCUACUGCUCGCACACGACCGUCAGAUGGCACCAUACGCGACCCGUACGUUUACUCCUUUCCUUUCCGACAUCUUUUUUUUUUCCUCUUUAUUUCACUCUACAUAUACCACGCUAUUACGCGAGAGUAUUCGUUGUGAACACUUUGAACAAAUUCCGAUUGGCUCAUGACGCUAUUAGUACUUCCAAAUGCAACAGUUACGAGUCACGUGACAUCUCCCGGACACUCGAUUGAUUGGAUGGUUCCAUCGUGCGCCAUGUUGUAUCCGUGAAAGAGCCAAUAAACGAUCAGCUCUUGAGCAUUAUUUUCAAUUUGAUGAUAUUAUUUAUUACCAUUCGAAAUUCUAAAGCUAACUGUGAUAACUAAUAAUACGAUGAUAUUAUACGAGAUAAGUGAAAGCUUUGAUUCUUUAUAUUUUUUAAUUAUGCAUGUAUUUUUUUCUCUCUCUUUUUCUUUCUUUUUUUUUCUUUUUUUUUUUUUUUUUUUUUUUUUUUUUAAAUAAUAAAUUAUAAUCAAAUAAGUAGAAAAGAAAAAUGAGUAUUUAAUAGGUUAAAAAAAUGAUCUGUAGAUUUAAGAAAAUCAAAGUUUCCUUUAUAGUCGAGAUGCAUUUAUGAAUUAUAUAUACAUAUUGAAGGAUAAGAAAUGAAUCAGUAGAAACACACUUUUAACUACUCAUAAAUUUUCUAUUAUUAAGUUUAUUUAAUUGUACCAUGUCUUUGUGAUAAUCGAUUUAUCAGCAUUUCAUUUUGCUUUGUCAAAUCGAACACUCCUAAGUGAUACACAGUUCCUUGAAGACACAUUGAUUUAAACUUAUGUCGAUAGUGAAACUCGUUUAAUGUGAUUGAAAUAGCCUCUUUCUUUUAAUAAAUCGUCCAAUGCUUCUUGAGCAUAAUAAACAACAAAAUUUGUCGGUGCGAUGCCUUCAAAUACAGCAUAGACAGAAGGUUUUAAAUUAUAGAAGAAAAGGGGUUGACCUCUAACUGCAAAAUCUUUGGUCAGACUUUCGACGACCGUAGCAGCUGUAAAAUCUGCUCCAUAAAUAUGUGAACAAUCUAUCACAACUGGUGUCUCUACGCUCUCUGUCCUGUGACUAUAUUUAGUCACUAAAUUUCUCACAUAAUCCACAGAAGGAAAGAUCAAACAACGAUCUGGCGUCAACAUCAGAUAAUCGAUCCCGCAGUGUGUCUGAAAUAUGUAAAAAAGCAAUAUAUGUACACACAUAUGUAUAUGUUUGUGUGCAUAUAUAUAUAUAUAUAUAUACACACACAUACACAUAAAUAUAAUAAAGUACUAGAAACAGUCUGCUUCAAAAAAGUACAAUAUAUAUAUAUAUGUAUAUAUAUAUAUUUUUGAAUGAUCUAACAUAAUCCUAUUGCAAAAUGAAAUAAUUAAUUUAUAAUACUUUAAUCAACUGUUUCUUUGAAUAAUAAUUGAAUAAUAAUAAAUAUAUAAAAAUAUAUAUUUACAGUUAAUUUUUCAACAGAUAUUUUUGGUCUUGCUGCAUGGUAAAGAAUGAACAAUACAUUCAUACCAAUCCCACAGAGAAUUCCAAUCUCAAGUUGCAGCACCAAGCAAGCAAUGAAAGUUCCUAAUCCUGGGAUUAGAUCAGACUCUAGAAAAGAUAUAUUUAUCAUGAAUCUUAUGUUAAUACAACAAUGUUUAUUUAAAAUUUUCCUCAAGAGAUAUGUUUAAUUGUAUUUUUAUUUAUUUCUACAUUGAUUAAUAACCUAAUUCUCACUUUUGGUUCUCCACAUUGGCUUAAUGACCUUCACUUCGACCAUGAAGACAACGGCAGAUAUGAUGAUUGCUGCUAAACUAGCUCUUGGUAUAUAACUGAAGUAAGGUGUAAGGAAAAGAAGUGCCAAUAUCACCAAUAAUCCUAUAGAAGAAGAAAUUGCAUAAGCAUGACAUACGGCACUUCUGCUAAGAGAUCCUGUGCCUGGAAAAGCCUGUACAAAGGAACUACCAACGUUCGCUAAACCAAUAGCUAUUAAUUCUUGUGUGGCAUCAACUGACUUUCCUUGUGCUAAAUUUACAAAUAGUAAAAUUAUAAUCUUAAUACAUAUAUAUACGUCUAUAGUAUAUAUAUUUUUUAAUGGAUAAAUUUUUUCUUACAAAAUGCUUUGAAAAUAGCCACAUCCUCCAUCAAAGAAAUAAGUGGAAGAACAAGAAUACCACUUCCCAAAUUCGUACACAUAUCUAUAAAAGUGACUGUAGUAUUAUCGUCUUUGAUGUAACCAAAUGGAGGUGGUUGUAAAGUGGGCAUACCACCUGGUAUGGGACCUAUAUAAUCAAAAGAAAUUUAAUUAGUUUCAUUUACAUUAGAUCAAUAUUAUUUAUUUAUUUAUUUAUUUAUUUAUUUAUUUAUUUAUUCGUGAUCAUACCAAUUACUUGAAAGGGUGCAUCAUGUGCGGCACUAAAAAGAUAUCCUAAUAAACCGCAAACAAUAACAAGAAGUGCAUUCCUUGAGGUACAGGUCAACCAUAUAAGCGUAUUUAUUAUUCUCUGCUUUUUGGUACGAAGUUCUUCAUUGUCAGGACCAAUUGUAAAGGAAGAUAUCAUCUGAUGAUACGAAUGAAAUAUUAAUAUUUCAUUAAUAUCAUAUUUAAAUUUUUAAAACUUACCCUGAGUAUUAAUAGGAUACCUAUGCAGCAUAUACCAAGCGUAGUAUCCCAUAUCGAUGUUUGAUAAAGGCACUCGGCAAUGCUUUUCCACAUCUGUACAAAGGUAGAUCCCCUGGCAGAGACAGCUAGGAUAUCUUUUAUUUGUGACGUAACUAUUAUCAGUGCUACUGCCGAAGUGAAUCCAGAACUAACCGGACCGGAUACAAAGUCAAUUAAAAAUCCUAAAAAUUAUUGAAAGUCUAAUUUAUUACAUUUUAGUUAAACAAAAUAUAUUGUCUAUUUGGACAAGAACAAUAUUUUUUGACUUUUAUUUACGUAGUUGCGUGAAAUGGUAUAACGAAAAAAAAAAAAAAAAAGAAAAAAGAAAAAAAUAAGCUCGCUUUUCAAUUGACAUUUCACACUUCAGUAAAAAAAUACAUAUAUAUAUAUGAUCGAUGUUAAUAAAUCUAGCGUUAAAUAUGAUACGAGAAUAAUAUAUUAUAUUUGAUUACUUACCGAGUCCGAAAAUUCCCAUGAUUAAUUCAACGACACCUACUAAAAAGCAUAAUAAUAUCGCAUGCUUUUCUGGCGCGUCCAAAUGAGCAACAGAUUGAUGAGUUAAUAAAGAAAGUAUAGCAGUAGGACCAAAUGGUACAUCUUUGCAGGAACCAAAUAUUAUGUAAAUGAAACAUCCCAAAAAACUGCCAUAUAAUCCGUACUGUAAAAUUUCAUUGAUUAUAUAUUAUGAAAACAUUGAAUUAAAUUUUAACUAAAAGAGAGAGAGAGAGAGAGAGAGAGAGAGAGAGAGAGAGAGAGAGAUAGAGAAAGAAAGAAUAAUCUUAUUACUAAUUAAGAUAUAUCUUCAAGUUAAAUUUCUUAAUUUAAUAUAAAAAUGUCAGAAUUUUUAAUACUUUAUAUUAAAAUAAAUAACAACAACAAUAACUAGACUAGUAUUUUUUUAAUUAUAAAUUUGUCUAAGUUAUUAUACUGUAAUUGUUAUGAGAGUGUUGUUUAUUUAUA